rnacentral:rRNA from 1 species
AAAGAAACCAACAGGGAUUGCCUCAGUAACGGCGAGUGAAGCGGCAACAGCUCAAAUUUGAAAUCUGGCGGCCUCUGGGCCGUCCGAGUUGUAAUUUGAAGAGGAUGCUUUUGGCGAGGCGCCUUCCGAGUGCCCUGGAACGGGACGCCACAGAGGGUGAGAGCCCCGUAUGGUUGGACGCCGAGCCUCUGUAAAGCUCCUUCGACGAGUCGAGUAGUUUGGGAAUGCUGCUCAAAAUGGGAGGUAAACCCCUUCUAAAGCUAAAUACUGGCCAGAGACCGAUAGCGCACAAGUAGAGUGAUCGAAAGAUGAAAAGCACUUUGAAAAGAGAGUUAAAUAGCACGUGAAAUUGUUGAAAGGGAAGCGCUUGCGACCAGACUUGUGCCCGUCGAAUCAGCCGCCGCUCGCCGGCGGCGCACUUCGGCGGGCUCAGGCCAGCAUCAGUUCGCUGCAGGGGGAGAAAGGCGGCGGGAAUGUGGCUCUUCGGAGUGUUAUAGCCCGCCGCGCAAUACCCCUCGGCGGACUGAGGACCGCGCAUCUGCAAGGAUGCUGGCGUAAUGGUCGUCAGCGACCCGUCUUGAAACACGGACCAAGGAGUCGUCCUAAUAUGCGAGUGUUCGGGUGUAAAACCCCUGCGCGUAAUGAAAGUGAACGGAGGUGAGAGCUUCGGCGCAUCAUCGACCGAUCCUGAUGUUCUCGGAUGGAUUUGAGUAAGAGCAUAUUGGGCCGGACCCGAAAGAAGGUGAACUAUGCCUGUAUAGGGUAAAGCCAGAGGAAACUCUGGUGGAGGCUCGCAGCGGUUCUGACGUGCAAAUCGAUCGUCAAAUAUGGGCAU